AUUGGUCCAUUCCAGAUCAUUCAGAAGAUCAAUGACAAUGCCUAUGUUCUUGACCUCCCACAUGAAAUGAAAAUUUCCAAGACGUUUAAUGUGGCAGAUCUAUUUCAGUACUACCCUGCUGAUGGCAACUCGAGGACGAGUUCUUUACAAGUGGAAGGGAAUGACACGGAGCAACUAGCCUUGGAUUUUACGGCAAACUUGGACCGGGGCUAACUUUUGCAUUUUAAU
rnacentral:lncRNA from 1 species